rnacentral:rRNA from 1 species
AUACGGAGGAUGCGAGCGUUAUCCGGAUUUAUUGGGUUUAAAGGGUGCGUAGGCGGCCUUGUAAGUCAGCGGUGAAAUUUUGCAGCUUAACUGUAAAAGUGCCGUUGAUACUGUGAGGCUAGGAUUUGGUUGCUGUGGGUGGAAUGUGUGGUGUAGCGGUGAAAUGCUUAGAGAUCACACAGAAUAUCGAUUGCGAAGGCAGCUCACAAAGCCAAGAUUGACGCUGAGGCACGAAAGUGUGGGGAUCAAACAGGAUUAGAUACCCUGGUAGUCCACACUGUAAACGAUGAUAACUCGCUGUCGGCGAUAUACAGUCGGUGGCCAAGCGAAAGCGUUAAGUAAUCCACCUGGGGAGUACGUUCGCAAGAAUGAAACUCAAAUGAAUUGACGGGG